rnacentral:lncRNA from 1 species
GAGACCCAAGCGCCCUGGGCGAAGCCACCGCGGGGAGGACCUGCGCUCGCGGGGGCUGCUGCGCUCUGCGCUGGGGCCUCUCGGGCUGGGAAUGCGUGGCCCGGCUUUUGAGGAUUUCCUCGGUCCCCGGGCGGAAAUAGCUGGAAUGGAGGGGCCUCUCGAUUGGAGACUUACUGGUCAAAUAUUUACUUUUGUUGAUCACUGGAAACGCUACCUACCACGCAUUGACUAGGACCACAGUGAGGAGGGAACGCUUUAGAUGAUAGAGUUUUGUUUGGGGGCUUUUUUUUGUUUUGUUUUAUUCCAGGAAUUCAGGAAAUUGCCCCAGAAGUCCGAUUUCUGAUGUGUAAAACCUUUUUUUACAGAAAACCACGACUUCCUGGAAAAGUCUUCACCGUAAAUAUUAAUCUCUUUGGCAUGAAGAGGAAAACACUGCAGCUAAUUUUUCAUGGGAUAACAAAAAUAUAAACUGCAAUUUCUUUUAUUUUUUCCCUUUCGAUGGUCUUUUUAAACGAGGAGUAAAGAUUUCAACGCCAGGUCCAUUUUCCAAAUUUUGUACCAGAACCUUGAGGAUGCUUGUCUCUCGCGCGCUUCUCCGCAGACCGAACCCUCUCCGGAACUCAGAGCUGUUCACCCAAGUCAGCGGAGGAGGCCUCCUGGGACUUGAGCCUGAGGGUGGCGAAGAACCCUAGGCAGAGAUCAUCAACUUGGUACCGAUGAGUGACGCGGAGCUUGAACAUUCCAGCGACUUGCUCCAGGGCCACUCCCAGUUAAGAGGCUGAGUGUUAACUGCAAGAGGCUGAGUGUUAACUACGCCGUUGGCUCCAGGAACCGAACCGGGUUUGGAUACAGACCCAGUCACACCAUCCAUGAAAAGCUGUUUCUAUAAUAUGAAAAAUUGUUAAAUGACGCUUUAGUAAAAGCCAUUUAAAGAUCUUUUCUAAUAAAUUUUUCAUCUUUCCAAACAA